rnacentral:rRNA from 1 species
CCAGACUCCUACGGGAGGCAGCAGUGGGGAAUAUUGCACAAUGGGGGGAACCCUGAUGCAGCGACGCCGCGUGAAGGAAGAAGGCUUUCGGGUUGUAAACUUCUUUUCUGAGGGACGAAGAAAGUGACGGUACCUCAGGAAUAAGCCACGGCUAACUACGUGCCAGCAGCCGCGGUAAUACGUAGGUGGCAAGCGUUAUCCGGAUUUAUUGGGUGUAAAGGGCGUGUAGGCGGGAAAGCAAGUCAGAUGUGAAAACUCAGGGCUCAACCCUGAGCCUGCAUUUGAAACUGUUUUUCUUGAGUGCUGGAGAGGCAAUCGGAAUUCCGUGUGUAGCGGUGAAAUGCGUAGAUAUACGGAGGAACACCAGUGGCGAAGGCGGAUUGCUGGACAGUAACUGACGCUGAGGCGCGAAAGCGUGGGGAGCAAACAGGAUUAGAUACCCCAGUAAG